rnacentral:lncRNA from 1 species
GAAUUUAUAAAUUUCUAAAACUACUUUUUUAUAUAAAUGAUUUACGAGAGUUAGAUUAAUUUUUUUGAUCACAAAUUAAUAAAAAUGAUUAUUUUUACAAAUAAAUUUGAAAAUAAAAUCAAAUUUGUGGUAAAAUUAAAAUAUUUCCAAAAAUAUUCUCAGCUAUAUUGUUUAUACUGCUCCAUAAAAUAACUAUUAUACUGACUAGUCUACAGAAUUCAUUUGACAUUAUAACCCAUGUCCUUAGAUCAUUUUCAUCAUCACCAUCAAUAUGUUACUCUCCACUUACAGUUG